rnacentral:rRNA from 1 species
UGAGUAGGCGGUCUGCUAAGCGUGUGGUGAAAGCCUGGGGCUCAACCCCAGGUCUGCCAUGCGAACUGGUGGACUUGAGCACUGUAGAGGCAGGUGGAAUUCCGGGUGUAGCGGUGGAAUGCGUAGAGAUCCGGAAGAACACCGGUGGCGAAGGCGGCCUGCUGGGCAGUUGCUGACGCUGAAUCACACAGCGGUGGGAGCAACA